rnacentral:rRNA from 1 species
UGAAAUUCGCCUUCAUGAAGCCGGAAUUGCUGUAAUGGCAGGUCAGCAUACUGCCGUGAAUACGUUCCCGGGCCUUGUACACACCGCCCGUCACACCAUGAGAGUUGGAGAUACCCGAAGCCUGUGAGCUAACAAACGAGGCAGCAGUCGAAGGUAGAAUCAAUGAUUGGGGUGAAGUCGUAACAAGGUAUC